CCGCGUGAAUGAUGAAGGCCUUAGGGUUGUAAAGUUCUUUUGCCAGGGAAGAUAAUGACGGUACCUGGAGAAUAAGCACCGGCUAACUUCGUGC
rnacentral:rRNA from 1 species